GCACUUUAGUCGGGGUGCUUUGUAACCAAAUUGUACAAAGCUGAGAUGAUACCCGUGAACCUGAUACAGCUAACACUGACGUAGGAAACUAAUUAUGCCAAUAA
rnacentral:ncRNA from 19 species